UCUGUGAUGCCCUUAGAUGUUCUGGGCUGCACGCGCGUUACAAUGAAAUAAACAACAAGUAUGACCUAAUCUGAGAAGAUUUGGGAAAUCUUUCUAACCUAUUUCUUGAUUGGGAUAGUGUUUUGCAAUUAUCGCACUUGAACGAGGAACGCCUUGUAUUGACAUGUCAUUAACAUGUCGAGAAUACGUCCCUGCCCUUUGUACACACCGC
rnacentral:rRNA from 1 species